rnacentral:rRNA from 1 species
UCCCCCAGUAACGGCGAGUGAAGCGGGAAGAGCUCAAGCUUAAAAUCUCCAUGUUUACAUGGCGAAUUGUAGUCUAUUGAGGCUGUUGUCAGCAUAGCGAUCUGGGAAAAGUCCCUYGGAAAAGGGCAGCAUAGAGGGUGAUACUCCCGUCUUUGCUCAGAUUGUCUGUGUGUACGAUACGCUUUCUUUGAGUCSAGUYGUYYGGGAAUACAGCUCAAAGUAGGUGGUAAAUUCCAUCUAAAGCUAAAUAUUGGUGCGAGACCGAUAGCGAACAAGUACCGUGAGGGAAAGAUGAAAAGAACUUUGAAAAGAGAGUUAAAGAGUACCUGAAACUGUUGAAAGGGAACCGUAUCGUUUCCAGUGUUGUAUCCUAUGCAUAUUUCAUUGGCGGAGUAAUUUGCUGGUGCCCUGUGCAUGGGUGUGACGUCAGAGUCAGUUUGUAUGCUGCGGGAGAUGGUUAGUGAGGAGGUGCGUCACUUCGGUGAAAGUUAUACCUCGCUAUCUAGUUGCCGUGGUUGAGACUGAGGUGCCUACAACAUGCCCUGGGGUUCAGUGCUGCCUCGUUUUGGUGACUGCUUGGAUAGCUUGCUAUGUCUGUGGUUAAUCAGGGCGAUUGGUGGUGCUGAAAACCUCUGCUGUUC